rnacentral:rRNA from 1 species
CGGCGAGUGAAGCGGCAACAGCUCAAAUUUGAAAUCUGGCCCUUGGGUCCGAGUUGUAAUUUGUAGAGGAUGCUUUUGGUGCGGUACCUUCCGAGUUCCCUGGAACGGGACGCCAUAGAGGGUGAGAGCCCCGUCUGGUCGGAUACCAAUCCUCUGUAAAGCUCCUUCGACGAGUCGAGUAGUUUGGGAAUGCUGCUCUAAAUGGGAGGUAUAUGUCUUCUAAAGCUAAAUAUUGGCCAGAGACCGAUAGCGCACAAGUAGAGUGAUCGAAAGAUGAAAAGCACUUUGAAAAGAGGGUUAAACAGUACGUGAAAUUGUUGAAAGGGAAGCGCUUGUGACCAGACUUGGGCCCGGUUAAUCAUCCACCGUUCUCGGUGGUGCACUUGGCCGGCCCAGGCCAGCAUCAGUUCGGCGUGGGGGAUAAAGGCGGCGGGAAUGUGGCUCCUCGGAGUGUUAUAGCCCACCGUGUAAUACCCUGUGCUGGACUGAGGUUCGCGCAUCUGCAAGGAUGCUGGCGUAAUGGUCAUCAGCGACCCGUCUUGAAACACGGACCAAGGAGUCGUCUUCGUAUGCGAGUGUUCGGGUGUCAAACCCCUACGCGUAAUGAAAGUGAACGCAGGUGAGAGCUUCGGCGCAUCAUCGACCGAUCCUGAUGUUCUCGGAUGGAUUUGAGUAAGAGCAUACGGAGCCGGACCCGAAAGAAGGUGAACUAUGCCUGUAUAGGGUGAAGCCAGAGGAAACUCUGGUGGAGGCUCGCAGCGGUUCUGACGUGCAAAUCGAUCGUCAAAUAU